rnacentral:rRNA from 1 species
AGCCUGCCCAGUGACACAUGUUUAACGGCCGCGGUAUCCUAACCGUGCGAAGGUAGCGUAAUCACUUGUUCUUUAAAUGAGGACUAGUAUGAACGGCACCACGAAGGUUAUACUGUCUCCUUUCUCCAAUCAGUAAAACUAAUCUCCCCGUGAAGAAGCGAGGAUAAAUUUAUAAGACGAGAAGACCCUAUGGAGCUUUAAACUAACCAGCAUUUGCUAUAUACAAAUUUUAACUUUAGACAAUCUAGCCCUCUGACUGGUAAUUUUCGAUUGGGGUGAUCACGGAACAAAAAAUAACCUCCGUGUCGAAAGGAUAAACCUGAGCAAAAAGCGACAGCUUUCCGCACUAAAAAAUUAAUGACCCAAUAUUUUGAUCAACGAACCAAGUUACCCUAGGGAUAACAGCGCAAUCUACUUCAAGAGUCCCUAUCGACAAGUAGGUUUACGACCUCGAUGUUGGAUCAGGGUACCCCAGUGGUGCAGCCGCUACUAAAGGUUCGUUUGUUCAACGAUUAAUACCCUACGUGAUCUG